AGUAACGCGUGGAUAACCUGCCUCACACUGGGGGAUAACAGUUAGAAAUGACUGCUAAUACCGCAUAAGCGCACAGUACCGCAUGGUACAGUGUGAAAAACUCCGGUGGUGUGAGAUGGAUCCGCGUCUGAUUAGCCAGUUGGCGGGGUAACGGCCCACCAAGCCGACGAUCAGUAGCCGACCUGAGAGGGUGACCGGCCACAUUGGGACUGAGACACGGCCCAA
rnacentral:rRNA from 1 species